AACGCUAGCUACAGGCUUAACACAUGCAAGUCGAGGGGCAGCAUGGUCUUAGCUUGCUAAGGCUGAUGGCGACCGGCGCACGGGUGAGUAACGCGUAUCCAACCUGCCCCAUACUGGGGAAUAGCCUGCCGAAAGGCAGAUUAAUGCCCCAUGCACUCCUUUGACGGCAUCAGACGAGGAGUAAAGGUUUACCGGUAUGGGAUGGGGAUGCGUCCGAUUAGCUUGACGGCGGGUUAACAGCCCACCGUGGCGACGAUCGGUAGGGGUUCUGAGAGGAAGGUCCCCCACAUUGGAACUGAGACACGGUCCAAACUCCUACGGGAGGCAGCAGUGAGGAAUAUUGGUCAAUGGGCGCGAGCCUGAACCAGCCAAGUAGCGUGCAGGAUGACGGCCCUACGGGUUGUAAACUGCUUUUAUGCGGGGAUAAAGUGUGCCAUGUAUGGCAUUUUGCAGGUACCGCAUGAAUAAGGACCGGCUAAUUCCGUGCCAGCAGCCGCGGUAAUACGGAAGGUCCGGGCGUUAUCCGGAUUUAUUGGGUUUAAAGGGAGCGUAGGCCGGUGUUUAAGCGUGUUGUGAAAUGUCGCAGCUCAACUGGGGCAUUGCAGCGCGAACUGGACGUCUUGAGUGCGCGGAAAGCAGGCGGAAUUCGUGGUGUAGCGGUGAAAUGCUUAGAUAUCACGAAGAACUCCGAUUG
rnacentral:rRNA from 1 species